AGAGUUUGAUCCUGGCUCAGAACGAACGCUGGCGGCAUGCUUAACACAUGCAAGUCGAACGCCUGUAGUAAUACAGGAGUGGCGUACGGGUGAGUAAUACCUAGGUAAUGUACCAUAAGGUGAGGGAUAACCGACCGAAAGGUUGGCUAAUACCACAUACGUUCUCUUGAGGUUCGCCGAUGGAGAAGAAAGUGGGGUAACUCGCGCCUUUUGAUCAGCCUGGGUCCCAUCAGCUAGUUGGUGAGGUAAUGGCUCACCAAGGCAAUGACGGGUAGCUGGUCUGAGAGGAUGAUCAGCCACACUGGGAUUGAGAUAUGGCCCAGACUCCUAUGGGAGGCAGCAGUGGGGAAUAUUGGAUAAUGGGCGAAAGCCUGAUCCAGCAAUGCCGCGUGAGUGAUGAAGGCCUUUGGGUUGUAAAGCUCUGUCGGGAGGGACGAAUAGGGUGGUGUAAUGGCCACUUUUGAUGGUACCUCCAAAGGAAGCACCGGUUAACUCUGUGCCAGCAGUUGCGGUAAUACAGAGGGUGCAAGCGUUGUUCUGAAUUACUGGGCGUAAAGCGCGUGUAGGCGGCGUCGUGAGUCAUAUGUGAAAGUCCUCGGUUUAACCGAGGAAGUGCAUGUGAUAUUGCGAUGCUUGAGUGUUGGAGGGGGUGGCGGAAUUCCCGGUGUAGAGGUGAAAUUUGUAGAUAUCGGGAGGAACACCUGUGGUGAAGGUGGCCACCUGGACAACAAUUGACGCUGAGACGCGAAAGCGUGGGUAGUAAACAGGAUUAGAUAUCCUGGUAGUCCACGCUGUAAAUGAUGAGUGCUAGACGUCACGGGUAUUGAUUCCUGUGGUGUCGAAGUUAAUAUGUUAAGCACUCCGCCUGGGGAGUAUGGUCGUAAGAUUAAAACUCAAAGGAAUUGACGGGGGCCCGCACAAGUGGUGGAGCAUGUGGUUUAAUUUGAUCCAUGUGCAGAAUCUUACCUGGGUUUGAACUGCACAGGAUUGGCGCAGAGAUGUGCUUUCCCUUUGGGGCCUGUGUGGAGGUGCUGUAUGGCUGUCGUCAGUUUGUGUUGUGAGAUGUUGGGUUAAGUCCCGUAAUGAGCGCAACCCCCGCCAUUUAGUUGCUAAUGGUUUGGUUGAGCACUCUAAUGGGAUUGUCGAUGUUAAAUCGGAGGAAGGUGGGGAUGACGUCAAGUCCUUAUGGCCCUUAUGCCCAGGGUUACAUACGUGCUACAAUGGAGAAUAUAAAGGGUUGCCAAGUAGUGAUACGGAGUUAAUUCUAUAAAAUUCUCCUCAGUUCGGAUUGCAGUCUGUAAUUUGACUGCAUGAAGUUGGAAUCGUUAGUAAUCGCGGAUUAGUAUGCCGCGGUGAAUACGUUCCCGGGCUUUGUAUAUAUCGCCCGUCACACCAUGGGAGUCGGUUUCUCCAGAAGCGCCUGAGCCAACCCGUAAGGGAGGCAUGGUUCCAAGGAGAGGCCGGUAACUGGGGUGAAGUCGGAACAAGGUA
rnacentral:rRNA from 1 species